rnacentral:lncRNA from 12 species
CUAUUAUUCCCACCUCCAUGAAAAUGCAGUUGCUCUUUCCUUACCAUUCAUCAUGAAAAGGAAAAUUUCUGUUUGAGCAACCAGAGGAUUCAACGUCCUUCUGCACACUACAAGUAAUGGAAACAAUGCUAUUGUUCCCAUAAAAGACAAAAGAGAGGCAGCCACCAGACUUUCUUAAAUUAAAGUUUUGUCUCAGGCAGACACUGCAAGAGAUGACAAGGUUCAGCAAGAUGACUCGGGCCAAAUUUACUUUUUUCCAUCUAAGAGCCAAAGAGUGGGAAAGGAAGACCAGAUCAGCAGCAUCAGGUAACAGUGCGAGCCCAGCCUUAAUUUAAAAGGAAGAGAAAGAAACAUGGAAAUAAUACGGUGAUAAAUAAGAACAAAAGA